UGUAAACCGAAGAUGUGAUUCAUUUUCUUUCAAAAUAGAGGAUGCUUCCUGUUACUCUGCAUCAUUGGUAAUCUAUUGAUGUGAUAGAGAAUGUGUAUUUAAAGUUGCAACAGUAAGAUAAGUUAUCUUCCUUGAUAAUAAAGAGAGGAAUUAGAUUCCAUUGUAAAAAAUGAGAGAGGUGAGAAGCUGCACCUAGUACCCAGCUGGAAGGUGCCAUUCAGAAAGAUGAGGCUGAUGGUCAUUGCGGUGUUGCAUACUGAAAUCUUAGGAGAGAUGUGUCAGAGCUGUGGUUAAGUGCUACCCGUCCCAUAUGUGAUUAACGGUUUAGAACUACUGCAUUAAAAAGGGCCAAUCUACUUUCAUUGAAGAUCAAGACCUGAAUGACCAACUUCCUCAGCCAGAUUCCGCAAGGUCUUAACUUUUGGCUUGGUUGUUUUGCAUACAUGUUUGAACUUACAUCUAUGGUGGCAUCGGAGUGGCUUAUUCAUUUAUUAGGUAGUGAUGAUAGUAUGAUUGUAGUUAUAAACUAACCACAUGAAUAUCCAUUGUAUUAGGCUAGCCAAGAUAUAGAUAGCAAUCUCCCUCCCUUGGUCUAGCACUAACCCAUCUCUUAGAUAGCAGGCUCGGUUUCGAAUGUGUAUCGAAACUGGGAAAUUGGUUCCUGAUUGAACAAAUACUGAUGGAAACUUUUCAUGAAGUCAAUCCGGGAUUUGAAGGGAAUUUGCAGACAUCGUAGGUAGCAUAGAUUUAUUGAAAGAUCGUAGUUACUGGCUGAGAGGCUGACUGUAACAAUGGUCUCCAUUGUGAAUCCAUAGAAAUUCCUACUUCUUCCAAUAAAAUUUGAAUGUGAUUCUUUUUUUCAGUUUUUGGGAUA